GACGAACCGUCCUAACGUUGUUCGGAAUCACUGGGCUUAAAGGGCGCGUAGGCGGUCGGCAAAGUCAGGGGUGAAAUCUUUCGGCUCAACCGGAAAAGUGCCUUUGAAACUAGUCGACUCGAGCGAGAUAGGGGCACGUGGAACUUCCGGUGGAGCGGUGAAAUGCGUUGAUAUCGGAAGGAACGCCGGUGGCGAAAGCGACGUGCUGGAUCUCUUCUGACGCUGAGGCGCGAAAAGCUAGGGGGAGCAAACGGGG
rnacentral:rRNA from 1 species